rnacentral:rRNA from 1 species
UACGUAGGGUGCAAGCGUUGUCCGGAAUUAUUGGGCGUAAAGAGCUCGUAGGCGGUCUGUCGCGUCGGCUGUGAAAUCCCGAGGCUCAACCUCGGGUCUGCAGUCGAUACGGGCAGGCUAGAGUUCGGUAGGGGAGACUGGAAUUCCUGGUGUAGCGAUGAAAUGCGCAGAUAUCAGGAGGAACACCGAUGGCGAAGGCAGGUCUCUGGGCCACUACUGACGCUGAGAAGCGAAAGCAUGGGGAGCGAACAGG